GUAGGGCGCCAGGGCAGAGCGGCAACACGCCAAUUAGAUUCAAGGGCAGCAGCACUGCCCGCAAACGUGGGGGGUGUCAGCGUGCAGUGCUCUGCCGGGAGGACACGGGGUUCGGCAGCACCCCGCUGGCCACCCAAGCACAGCAGGAGCCGCGGUGGGGAGGACAGGCUGACGGUUUUCUGAGAGAAAGGCCGGGGGACGUGAGAAAGAGGAGCAGGAGGAGGAGCAGGGCAAGGGGGAGGGGGGGAGCAGGCGCUGUUCCGGGCCAGCAGGUCCGGCCUGAGCCAGUUCGAGCCGGUUUGCGCCAGUUGGGGCUAUGGAAGGAGACAACAGCCGCUGAAGACACCGCCUGCAUCCGGGCGGGCGGUACUCUCCGGACUGGAUCACGCAGAACCCUCGGAGCGGGGUUCCGCGCCACGUCCCCCCGCGCAGUCGCCGCUGGCAGCGGCCGCUCUAGGCACGCCGCUGCCUGGAGCUGCCUCUAGGCGGGAAUCCAUCCCUGUGUUUCUGUCUCGCCCCGCGCGGCCUCAGGCUGCCGGAGGGGCAGGGAGGCCUCCGGUGUCAGCAGGGGAAAAAAAGCAAAGUGCCUAUGUCCGUCCUCUCAGAAGGUUUGCCUGCCUCAGUCUUCCAUUUUCCUUCUCUGCUGACAACACAGAUUAUGUGAAAACUCAAGAGAUACUUAGUCAUGCAAAAGUGGCACAUCUGUUGGUAGCAGGAUGUUAAGAUGUGUGAAGCCCUUUCAAAUUAUCCGUCAAACUUGCAUAAAGCAAGCAUCCUAGGCAGUCCUUGCCUCAGAAAUGUGCUGAUCAGGAUGCUUGGAGCAGGACAUCAGGUGGAUGUAGACAGGCUGGCAAAGGAGGUAAGGAGUAGGGAGUUAAUGAACUGCUACUGACCAGUGAGAUAAAUAGUGGUCUCACCAAUACAUUAAUCACAUUUCUUGCAUCCACAUCAGGCAUACUACAGCCAAGGACUGAGCGUGGUUGUUGCUCAUAACUCUGACAUGUUUGUGAACUGGACUAUGGCCAAAAACCAGGACUAAACCAAGAUGCAUGUCUUGGUUACUCUCCAGCCUGUUGAUGCCCAAAAGUGUAAAGAAAAGACUUAAUUUAAAUGCAAAAAGGGACAGGAACUAGGUAUGGGAGGUAGAAAGACAUGAGGCAUCCCAGGGAUACAAAUAGGAGAGCAGAAGGCAACAGAGAAAGCAGAGACUGUGAUUUAAUAUGGCAAUACAGUAGACUGGCUGGUCAAGAAAAUUAGGUGGAGAACUGAGGAAGAAGUGGAGUCUGGAGUUCUUGAGCUGUUGGGCCUAGCCUUAUACAGGGAUAAUAUAUGCUAUGAAAGU